UACCCAAUCCCGACACGGGGAGGUAGUGACGAAAAAUAACGUGGCGGGGCCCUUUCGUGGUCGCCGCGGGCGGAAUGAGCGCAAUUUAAAAGAGUGUGCGAGGAGCUAUUGGAGGGCAAGCCUGGUGCCAGCAGCCGCGGUAAUUCCAGCUCCAAUAGCCUAUAUCGGAGUUGCUGCGGUUAAAAAGCUCGUCGUUGGAUCUCGGAGGCGGCACGGUCGGGCGCGAUACGCUGCGGGUCCGACCGGCGAUUUCUCGGCCGUCCCUAACCGGCGCGCGGGGCGAGGUGGACCUCGCGGUCCUGCCUCGUUUUUCUCCUUCGCGGGA
rnacentral:rRNA from 1 species